GAUUAGUAUCCUGAUUAUUGUCUACUUACAGCCCUGCUUCUCUUCACUGGCUGAUGUGCAGACAUUUAUUAGUAAAUCUUCACGGCGGUCUAGGGAGUGACAGCAUCCUCUGGAAUAUUUCAACUACAAAAGGCCUUUGACUGAGCGCUGUUCAUCGAGUCCAGCCCCGGCUUUGCAAAUAAACAGCUGACACCAAGAGAGGAGAAGCAACACGGCUGAGGCCACAGGGUGACAAAGCCUUAACAGCAAGAAGGGGAGAAGGCAGUCAUCUGGAAACGAGGAAGACAGCCCUCACCAGAAACUGACACUGUUGGACCUCGAUCUUGGACUUGCAGCCUCUAGAAUUGCAAGAAAAUAAAUUUAAGCUGUGGACUCU
rnacentral:lncRNA from 1 species